UUUAUCUAAUGGUUAGCAGUGGCUCCAUUGUUGUCAGAGUUAUAACAUAUUGAUGAACGGAUAUUGUAAGCAUAAAGAGAUUGAUGAGGCCAACAAGGUUUUUCAGGAAAUGCAUCUUAGGGAGCUUGUUCCCAUUACUUACACCAUUCUUAUUGAUGGUUUUUGCAAAGUGCAGCUGAUACAAGACGCACAAAGGCUGUUCCCGAAGAUGCAAGAGUGUGGCCAACUUCCUGAUGUCCAAACAUAUGCUGUUUUACUUGGUGGCCCAUGUGACAUCCAACAAAUUUCUACGGCAAUAGAACUGCUUAGAGAGAUGGAAGCCAACAAAUUGGAACUGAAUAUUGUAAUUUACACUGUUAUUAUUGAAGGUUUGUGCAAAGCUGGAGAAUUUCAAUCUGCAAGAGAUGUCUUCUUUGGUUUAUCAUCAAAAGGAUUUCGACCUGAUGUCAGGACAUAUACUAUUAUGAUUAAUGGACUUUGUGAUGAGGGACUAUUAGAUGAAGCAGAAAAGUUUAUUCAAGAAAUGGAAGAGAAGGGCUGUUCUCCAGAUGAUUGCACCUAUAACAUCAUUAUCCGAGGGUUUAUCAAUAAGAACGAGACAUCAAAGGCAAUGGGACUUAUUCAAGAAAUGCUGAUGAGGGGUUUCUCUGUAGAUGCAACAACUGUGGAAUUGAUAGAUGAUUUAUUGUCUCAGGAUAAAGUAGAUCCUGCCUUGUUGCCACUGUUAAAAAUUCAUAAUAUGGUUAAUUGGAAUAUUUGAAACAGAAGUUUCUCAGCAUGAGAAGGAAGUUGGGCCUGCACCUUGGACAACCCUGGAUGUAUAUAAGUGUGUUAUUUAUAAUCAAUCAUUUGAAAACACAAUUUCAUUUUGUGGCUGAACCCAAUUUUAAGCUUAAAAUUGUCAUAUCCUUUGCUAAUAACUUGUUAGGUACUUUAGUACAUCACCAUUGCAUCCCAAGCUCUAGUGUAUGUUGUGCAUGAGGUGGUUGUUGCCUUGAGAGGUAUAUAUCAGUUGCUAGCGUGACUUGGGUUAAUCUACAGAUGGCUCAAUCAUGAAUGAAGUCUUAUUCUGAUAUGCACAGAACUAAAUUGGUUUCUGAGGUUGGCGAUGAUCUGCUAUAUUUGAAACUUCAAGCGUACAAGCAGCUGUCAGUUCAACCAAGGGCAUCCCAGUACCUAGUGCCCAGAUACUUUCAUUCGGUCUUCCAUGUUUCAACACUUGAGAAGAAAUUGGGGUCCAAUGCAGUUGUUUUUUUCCACAUACCUACCUCCCACACUGGAUCCAAGUAAUCGAAGGUAUUUCCAGCAAUGAUUUUAGCCAGGGGAAUGUUUCAAAAGUGCAAUGCUGCUACAACCAAUGGCUGACCCAGGGAGUUGGUGCUGCACCCAAAGAUGCAACUUGGGAGGAAGCAGAUAAAAUCAUCUUGCAUGAUACCAGUUAAAUUUUGGUGGAGAUGUUGGGAAACAAACUAGUAAUACUUCCCAAUGAAGCAACCAAACCAUAAUGUCAGAGGCUCAGAGCUAUGGAUUUUGCACAGGAAAGAUUCUCUUAAAACGCAAUAUUUCGUUACUUAUAAGUUAUAAUUCUUGAAUUUUGACACUCAUCACAUUCACAGCUGGCCUCACUUUGGUGACCGUUGUGCGUUAUACGCCAUUUCCGGCCAUUGUAAAAGCUUAAACUUGAAUUGGAUAGCAAAAUUUCCAUUUUUUUCUUUCAUUUUUCAUUGCUUAUCCAUCUCUGUAUUCUAGUAUCUAUCAAUAUCGUCAAUAGUUGGCACACACACACCCUUUUUUUAUUUAAACUUUUGCAUCCAAGAGGAGCAGAGAAAAGAAAAUGGAUCUGAUGGAGCUGCAGAGAAGAUAUGGUCAGCUCCGUGAAGCUUUUUCUGUAACUUUGGGUAAACAUAAAGAGAGAAUCCUAGUUUAUUUAGAAGAAAUUCAAAAACUUCAAUUGGAAGUGGAACAAGAUACAAGUCAGACCAUGUGCAAAACAAGGGAAGAGCUUGAGCUGCGCAUCACAGAAACGGUUGAGAGAUCUUGUUUGGAACGAGCGAAGGCUCAUGCAGGAUUAUAAAGCUUGGUAGAAGAAGUAGAGGUUUGUUUUCCAUCAUUUGUUGUAACUAGGUUAUUUGGUUGAAUCAAUGGUUUGGUUCUUCACACUUUGUUUUACUUGAAACUAGGAGAUUGAGUACCUUAUGAUGAGAGUUGCUAGGACUGAAGACCAGUAAAUGCUGAGAACAGAGAGUGGAUUUAAAUUGUAUACGUGAAUCUGCGGUCAAGCAGGUCCUAUUUCAAUAUAGUGUUGUGAACUGUGAUCGAAAUGAGUAGUUCAGAGCACUGGUAUUGUAUCCUCAAGUUCAUUGUUGUUGUAUCCUUCUUGGAAUUGGAGUUUGAAACCAGCUAUUGUUGGCCUCCUGGAUUGCAUACUUUAGGACAUUUGUUUGUGUAUGCUUUAGGGCGAUGAUGUUUUUCCAGUGGUGAUCUGCUGUAGGAUGGAAAUGCUUAUUGAACUAACAGAAUCACAUUCCCUAGACUGGCAGCUCUAAAUCCCGAAAUGUAUCAACCUAAUCAAAAUA